rnacentral:rRNA from 1 species
GAUGAACGCUGGCGGCGUGCCUAAUACAUGCAAGUCGAGCGAACGGACGAGAAGCUUGCUUCUCUGAUGUUAGCGGCGGACGGGUGAGUAACACGUGGAUAACCUGCCUAUAAGACUGGGAUAACUUCGGGAAACCGGAGCUAAUACCGGAUGAUAUUUUGAACCGCAUGGUUCAAAAGUGAAAGACGGUCUUGCUGUCACUUAUAGAUGGAUCCGCGCUGCAUUAGCUAGUUGGUAAGGUAACGGCUUACCAAGGCAACGAUGCAUAGCCGACCUGAGAGGGUGAUCGGCCACACUGGAACUGAGACACGGUCCAGACUCCUACGGGAGGCAGCAGUAGGGAAUCUUCCGCAAUGGGCGAAAGCCUGACGGAGCAACGCCGCGUGAGUGAUGAAGGUCUUCGGACCGUAAAACUCUGUUAUUAGGGAAGAACAUAUGUGUAAGUAACUGUGCACAUCUUGACGGUACCUAAUCAGAAAGCCACGGCUAACUACGUG